CCCUUAGAUGUCCGGGGCCGCACGCGCGCUACACUGAAGGAAUCAGCGUGGCUUUCUCCCUGACCCGAAAGGGUUGGGAAACCCGUUGAAUCUCCUUCGUGAUAGGGAUUGGGGCUUGAAAUUGUUCCCCAUGAACGAGGAAUUCCCAGUAAGCGCGAGUCAUAAGCUCGCGUUGAUUACGUCCCUGCCCUUUGUACACACCGCCCGUCGCUACUACCGAUUGAACGGUUUAGUGAGGGCCUCGGAUUGGUCUCGGCCCGCUCUUUACCGGGCGGCGCCGUUGGUCGAGAAGACGCUCGAACUUGAUCGUUUAGAGGAAGUAAAAGUCGUAAUA
rnacentral:rRNA from 1 species